rnacentral:rRNA from 1 species
CGUACCNUUACCACAGGGGGAUAACACCUGGAAACAGGUGCUAAUACCGCAUAAGCGCACAGGGCCGCAUGGCCCGGUGUGAAAAACUCCGGUGGUGUAAGAUGGACCCGCGUCUGAUUAGCUUGUUGGCGGGGUAGGGGCCCACCAAGGCGACGAUCAGUAGCCGGCCUGAGAGGGUGGACGGCCACAUUGGGACUGAGACACGGCCCAAACUCCUACGGAAGGCAGCAG